rnacentral:rRNA from 1 species
UACGUAGGGGGCUAGCGUUGUCCGGAAUCAUUGGGCGUAAAGAGCGUGUAGGCGGCCCGGUAAGUCCGCUGUGAAAGUCGGGGGCUCAACCCUCGAAUGCCGGUGGAUACUGUCGGGCUAGAGUGCGGAAGAGGCGAGUGGAAUUCCUGGUGUAGCGGUGAAAUGCGCAGAUAUCAGGAGGAACACCGAUGGCGAAGGCAGGUCUCUGGGCCACUACUGACGCUGAGAAGCGAAAGCAUGGGGAGCGAACAGG